UUGACACCUGGAGUAGAACAAACACAGUGAGUUAGGACUGCCAGCUUAGUGUUUUGUCCCCCAUCCUUGGUCCCUUCAUUUUCCACCCCUCACAGCAUGAAUAAACUCUCACAGAUGCCAGACCAUCUCUUUCUUGUCCAGGUGCACAAAGAACUGUUCAUCUUCAUCAAAUUCAAACAUAUACUCCCCAGAGGGUCUGUGUGUCUGCACAAACUCUGCAUACGUUGACACAUGGUCUGCUGCAUGAAGGGGAAGAAGACUGCAGAAUGGUGAACAUGUAGGAAACUACACAGAACACAGGAAGCAAGCAGGCCACAAGUGCCAGCAGCUGCACAGAUACUUCUCUGUUUAGCCAGCACUAAGGAUGUAACUCAGAAGACCUGGGCCUUGUCCUCAAGCUGCUUGAAAUCCAAAAUCCAAAGAGAUCAAGAAAAGAAGGUUGCUACAUGUGUAUUUUAUUUUGUGUUUUUUAAAUUUUUUAUUUCCAUAUGUUAUUUUGAUCACCACUGAGUACCAUAAGACAUAUGCUAGAGCCACUCAGGAGCAUAAAGAUGGCAUUUUUAAAAAAUGA